UACGAGGGGGGCAAGCGUUGUUCGGAUUUAUUGGGCGUAAAGAGCUCGUAGGCGGUUUGUCGCGUCGGAUGUGAAAACCCAGGGCUCAACCCUGGGCCUGCAUUCGAUACGGGCAGACUAGAGUAUGGCAGGGGAGACUGGAAUUCCUGGUGUAGCGGUGAAAUGCGCAGAUAUCAGGAGGAACACCGGUGGCGAAGGCGGGUCUCUGGGCCAAAACUGACGCUGAGGAGCGAAAGCGUGGGGAGCGAACAG
rnacentral:rRNA from 1 species